CGCAAAAUCACCGGAGGAGGCAGGAAGAGACGGACGCGGCGGCGGUCCCGCCAGCGGAAUCCAAGCCCCGCCAGGAGGCAGAGACGGUGAGCCUUCAGCCAACAAUGGUAACCUGAUCUACCAAGCUAACUCAUCUGGAUUGAGGAGUUGAAAGCAAAGCCCCUCUUUGUCCUCUGCCCACUUCUCCCUGGUUUCAUCUUCUCCAAGAUCUCCAGAACUUCAUUGAAGGAAAAGAUACCCUCCAGGUGGCCACAUACUAUAGUUGAAAAUGUCCAACAUCUUUUAUUUGAUUGACCAUUCCAAACAUCUGAGAGACCAGGGGUGGUUUCAGAGGGAGCUUGGAGUUUUCCCAAAAACUCUAUUACAUGGUUCAGCUGAGCUUCUUGAUACAGCUUAGAAUGAGCAGGUGGCGGGAGCCAUGGACCAAACUGUGAAGACUUUCUCUCUGUGUGGAUCUCAUAGAGCCCCAUGGUUUACUGAAUGAUUCAGAGAGAUGAAGCAACGUACGAGAUGCCUACAGUGCUACUGGAGGAAGACAAGGAGUGAGGCUGAUCAAGAAGAGGAAAGUUGAAGAGAAAGUGAUUGGCACACAGCUACAGCCCUGAAUUAAGUGGACUAUCUCGACCCUCUGCAAUCUGGGUUCAGGCCUGGGCAAAACGCUGGAACAACAUUGAUCUCAUUUGUUGAUGACCUUUGGAGAGCUUGAUAUGGAGGUGAUGCAAUCAUUCUGGGCUCCUGGACCUCUCAGUGGACUUUGAUAUUACGACCAUAGUAUCCUUCUGGACUGGCUUUGGAGGGUUGGGAAUGAGAGGCACCCGAGUUAUGGUAGUUCUCCUCCUUGUGUUUGUGGGAGGGGAGAGGUAAAGUCAUGGGCCCCUGAAAUGUGGAAUGCUAGAGGGGAUUGGCAACUUGCAGCCUGUGGAUAAUAUGUAGCCUUUUUUUCCCUUCCAAGCCCAGAAACCCUAAAUGUUAUACUGCCAGUAUCUGGUUUAAAACUCCAUUGUAAAUAUCCAGUGUGUGUGUGUGUGUGUGUGUGGAUUUUUUUUUUAAAAAAAAGAGAAGACAAACUAGAAAAACUGCAUUAAGCCUCUAAUAGGAACAAGCAUAACUUUUUUACUUUCAAAAAGUCUCCCUAAACCUCUCAAAAAAAAAUUUUUUAAAAAAAAAAAUCUUGAAUAGAAAAAGCCAUCCAAUGCUUUCAUGUUGUUAUGUCACCACCACAUUCCCUGCAAGAACGGUAAAAAAAGGUUUAGGUAAGGUUUUCAGCUUAGAAUGCCUAAUUUAGUAACAUAUUGCCUCGCUAUAUGUUGGCAUCUUUUGGUUCUAUAUUUUUUGAGCACAUAACACAAGUAAAUGAAGAAUUAUUACAUUGGAUGGGGAAAAAAAUAAUUGCAACAAUUCACAGCAAUAUCAUUGUAAUUAUAAAGUUUCUCAUUUUUAAUAUGUAAAGCAUUGCCCCCAAAUCAAUUGGCACCAUCUGUUUGUAGGAAGGAAGUAGGAAAAAUAAAUGCAAACUUCUGAGCAAUAAAUCAAGUAUUUGUACUAAUACUAUGCUGGAAUGUAAUUUGAAGUUUCUCAAAGUUUUUUCCCCCUCCUAAAGGAAUUUCUAAUUUUCUACCUUAUUCUCAGGCUGCUGAGAAUGUCUUUAGAACUUCCCUUGACAUUGUUUCCAACUUACUAUUAGAGAUUGCAACCUGCUAGUUUUAUUGUUUUUCUGUAACAUGUAUUUCCAGCUAUCUAAAACUCCCCGGCUGACCACACUACCCGUUGUGAAAAAACUUAAUAGGGGAGUCAUCAUUAUCAGUUUCCUUGGGAUUUAAGUGUGGGAAACAAGGGAGGCUACAAACUGCUGGCAAAAUGAUAACACAAGAGCAAACACACAUAUUCUUCCAUCACCUUGAAUAUUCAUCUGAAAAAACAACAGUGAUAUUAUAGGCCUGGCCUCAUACAAAAUUUGGUGCCACAGUAUAGAAAACCUUGUCCUGGCUGUGUGCUGAAUGAAUUUCAGUAGAUAUAAGAUACAGAGCUUUACCUCACAAAGAUCUGAGGAGGAGAACACAGUGCUGUGUUGCUUGAUCUUCUCAAAACCAUCAGUCUCCGAAUCUAAAACAGGGGAGAAUAACAUGAUUGGGAAGUGUGAGCAGCUUGGACUUCAAAGUGAUGGAAAGAUACAUAUUGUUGAAUAUUCUAGAUUUUCUUUGGAAUGGACUUGACAAUAUUACUUCAAACGAGCUGAAAUAUGUACAUUUUGGAGGAUAAAAAAGGAAUGUCUUUAAAUAAAAUUCCAGGCGCUUA